UCCCAAGUAACCUGCUAACAGUUAACUCAGGCAAACAAGUGAAUUGCUUAAGGCAGUAAAUGGCAUCCAAUUGGAACCUCUGGGUCUUGGCUACCAGCCCUGCAGCCACAGGUGCCAGGAGGCACUUCAUGCUACGUCAGCAUUAUGAUCAGUUACAAGUCCCUUCAUGACUCAGGGUGCCAGUCAGAUGUGCAAGGGCCAGUCUCUAUUCUAGAGACUCAGUGACACAUCUGGAGGAUGCUACAAAGCUUCAUGCUGUGGCAUCUGCAAAAUCAAAACUUGAUCACAAGAGUUUUCUAACAGCCAGAUGAGAAAUGAAAAUAAAGGGUGCCCCUCACUCACCCACUGUAGAUUGUCAUUAGCAAUGAAAUCGCAGGUCUCUGACUUGGUGCCGUCAAACAGCGUGGAGUUGGAAAGUGUGAAGCUUUCCUACCACUCCUGUGUGCCAAGACUCUUCCUCUCCAGGGGCUUGUCCACCACACUCCAGGCGGGGGUCUGCUUUCCACUUGCUGGGAACCCUGUCUGAUGCAGUGUGGACCAUCCGACAGCCACACUCCUAGUCCUGUUUCGAGGGACUGGUUUCCAUUGUAUUUUUAAAAAUCAUUAAAGUGUUCUAACUGAAGGGACUUGCACAAGAUCAUUGUACAGGACACUGGAUGGCGGUGCCAGGCCUCUGGCCAUCUUGCUGCUGCUCCCAGAUCCUCCCACUGGUCCUCUGAGGACAUGCCUGUGGGGUUCGAGGCAGAGCACUUUAGUCAUCAGCAUUAUGAUAACUCAAAACCAAAGAGGAAGUCUAAGUGCAGGUUCUUGUCCUGUGUGUGCCCUGCCUAGUGUGACAGCACCACUGGGCGCCUUGGACAGACGGGGCCCCAGCAGUGUACUUGGCUAUACAUGAAGGCAGAUGGCACCAACCUCUGCCCACCCUUCAGCUGGCUUUUUCCCUGCCCAGUUCCAGGGGUAUCAUGGUUCCUAAAAGGUCAAGGUCAAGUUCCAUGGCCUGCAGGCCCACACAACCACUGGCACUCUACAGAGCAGCAUGUGGGCACGAGUGCAUGGAGUUCAACCUGAGCCCUGCAGCAGGGGCACAUGUGCAGGUGGCUUGUUCUGUAACCCACAGCCAGGAUCAAAGCACUCGUCCUGAGCCUGUGCCCAGAAGGGGCUGUCGUCCAUAGCCAUGAGCCCUCUGGCCCAGCCCACGAUGCCCUGUAGAGGGGUGGAGGUCAACACCUGGCACACCCCUAAACAAUGAAAGCCACUGGCCUGCUGCUUAGCUCAGCUGCACCAGGCAGCUGCGGGUGAGACAC
rnacentral:lncRNA from 1 species